GCUGAUCCGGAAUUAACCCUACAGGUCUGCUUCGUAAUGCAAUCUGGCAAAUGGAUGUCACCCAUUACCUAGCCUUUGGUAAUCUUAGGAUGCAACUGCACCAAUAUGAGUGCCCUGUAGAAAUAUUCAUCUGGCUAUGGACGAGUGGGUGAUGAAUGAGUCAAGAGAGGACCUGUAGAUGUAAUGAACUUUCUGUGGUUAUUUUUCUUCAGCCUGUGACAGCCGAUAAGCUCUGGGUUUUGGUACCCCUGCUCCCUUCCUUUGCCUGUGUCAUUUAACCCCCAGCCUACAUUGUUCUUUUCUUUUCCAA